GGAGCGAAGUCUUUGAUUCCCCGCUGCCAAGAAAAGCUUCUAGCGAGAUAAAAGGUGCCUGUACCGCAAACCGACACAGGUAGGCGAGGAGAGAAUCCUAAGGUGUGCGAGAGAACUCUGGUUAAGGAACUCGGCAAAAUGACCCCGUAACUUCGGAGAAGGGGUGCUUUCUUAACGGAAAGCCGCAGUGAAUAGGCCCAAGCGACUGUUUAGCAAAAACACAGCUCUCUGCGAAGCCGUAAGGCGAAGUAUAGGGGGUGACACCUGCCCGGUGCUGGAAGGUUAAGGAGAGGGGUUAGCGUAAGCGAAGCUCUGAACUGAAGCCCCAGUAAACGGCGGCCGUAACUAUAACGGUCCUAAGGUAGCGAAAUUCCUUGUCGGGUAAGUUCCGACCCGCACGAAAGGUGUAACGAUUUGGGCACUGUCUCAACCAGAGACUCGGUGAAAUUAUAGUACCUGUGAAGAUGCAGGUUACCCGCGACAGGACGGAAAGACCCCGUGGAGCUUUACUGUAGCCUGAUAUUGAAUUUUGGUACAGUUUGUACAGGAUAGGCGGGAGCCAUUGAAACCGGAGCGCUAGCUUCGGUGGAGGCGCUGGUGGGAUACCGCCCUGACUGUAUUGAAAUUCUAACCUACGGGUCUUAUCGACCCGGGAGACAGUGUCAGGUGGGCAGUUUGACUGGGGCGGUCGCCUCCUAAAGUGUAACGGAGGCGCCCAAAGGUUCCCUCAGAAUGGUUGGAAAUCAUUCGUAGAGUGCAAAGGCAUAAGGGAGCUUGACUGCGAGACCUACAAGUCGAGCAGGGACGAAAGUCGGGCUUAGUGAUCCGGUGGUUCCGCAUGGAAGGGCCAUCGCUCAACGGAUAAAAGCUACCCCGGGGAUAACAGGCUUAUCUCCCCCAAGAGUCCACAUCGACGGGGAGGUUUGGCACCUCGAUGUCGGCUCAUCGCAUCCUGGGGCUGUAGUCGGUCCCAAGGGUUGGGCUGUUCGCCCAUUAAAGCGGUACGCGAGCUGGGUUCAGAACGUCGUGAGACAGUUCGGUCCCUAUCCGUCGUGGGCGUAGGAAAUUUGAGAGGAGCUGUCCUUAGUACGAGAGGACCGGGAUGGACGCACCGCUGGUGUACCAGUUGUUCUGCCAAGGGCAUAGCUGGGUAGCUAUGUGCGGAAGGGAUAAGUGCUGAAAGCAUCUAAGCAUGAAGCCCCCCUCAAGAUGAGAUUUCCCAUAGCGUAAGCUAGUAAGAUCCCUGAAAGAUGAUCAGGUUGAUAGGUUCGAGGUGGAAGCAUGGUGACAUGUGGAGCUGACGAAUACUAAUAGAUCGAGGACUUAACCAU
rnacentral:rRNA from 1 species